GAGUUUGAUCAUGGCUCAGAACGUACGCUGGCGGCACGCCUAACACAUGCAAGUCGAACGCAGUAGCAAUACUGAGUGGCGAACGGGUGAGUAUGAUGUAGGUAUCUGCCCUUUGGUUUGGAAUAACACGAGGAAACUUGUGCUAAUACCGGAUAAGCCUUCACAGGGAAAGCUUUAGCGCCAAAGGAUGAGCCUGCACUUGAUUAGCUAGUUGGUAAGGUAAUGGCUUACCAAGGCUACGAUCAAUAGCUGAUCUGAGAGGAUGAUCAGCC
rnacentral:rRNA from 1 species